CCUACGGGGGGCAGCAGUGGGGAAUAUUGCACAAUGGGCGCAAGCCUGAUGCAGCCAUGCCGCGUGUGUGAAGAAGGCCUUCGGGUUGUAAAGCACUUUCAGCGGGGAGGAAGGCGUUAAGGUUAAUAACCUUGGCGAUUGACGUUACCCGCAGAAGAAGCACCGGCUAACUCCGUGCCAGCAGCCGCGGUAAUACGGAGGGUGCAAGCGUUAAUCGGAAUUACUGGGCGUAAAGCGCACGCAGGCGGUCUGUCAAGUCGGAUGUGAAAGCCCCGGGCUCAACCUGGGAACUGCAUUCGAAACUGGCAGUCUAGAGUCUUGUAGAGGGGGGUAGAAUUCCAGGUGUAGCGGUGAAAUGCGUAGAGAUCUGGAGGAAUACCGGUGGCGAAGGCGGCCCCCUGGACAAAGACUGACGCUCAGGUGCGAAAGCGUGGGGAGCAAACAGGAUUAGAUACCCCGGUAGUC
rnacentral:rRNA from 1 species